ACAUGUCUUUAAUGUUUGUUUGUCAGACAGCGAACAAGUGAGAGAACAACCGUUGACGUCCAUUGACGUCAGCCUUUUAUACUUUUUCUUAAGUACCACGUGACGUCAUAACAGCCAAUCAGAAAUUACGUCACGCUAGGAAGAGAUCUACCUUUACAAAAUAAAUAUCAUUUCAUUUAAUAAUUACGUUAUGCACACAAUUGCUCAAUAAAUAAAGUAAUUGCUUUUUGGUCCAGCUUCCGUUUGCAGUUUACAGUUUGUAAAUGCACACUCUAAAUCCUAAGAAACUUCAUCUUUUGUAAAUACGUCAGUUUAGCCCAUAGCAAAAGCAUUACCAACUUGAAAUAAUUAAUUCUGCGAAUUUCUAAAGUGCAUAAAGAUAAAACUAACAUUUCUUAAUUGCUUUUUCAGUCUAAAAUUUGCGUAAAACAAUUUUACAGAAAAAGCCUUUAGAAUAUUUAUAAAAACGACAUUAUUAACCAGGCACAAAACACGCUCAUUUUGCAUAGCAAAUACAUUGGGAAUUCAAGCUAAUAAUACAAACAAAUUCUAAUGUGCAAAACAUCGGCACUAUCACUACACAAUUGCUUUUUUGGUCUAAUUUCAAUAUAAAAUAGUUUUAAUGAAAAAGCCUUUGGGAAUUUUAUAAAAACAGCAUGUUUAUACUGUUGUUUACAAACAUUGUGUACCGAUAUAUAAGACCUUAGCAACCAGUAUGUGUAAACAGGUUCUCAGCGUACAAGGAUAUAGUUCCUAAAAGCACUAAUAUUACAGUAAUCAGUUUUACAGUUAUUACCUCACUUAAUUAAUAAAAUGAUUUGCCAUAAUGUACAAACAAUAUUAGGAUACGUUUAACUAAGAAAAUAGCUAAUCGAUCGUACAAGUUUUGGAGGAAAAUAAACUUUACUGAAGGGCAAGGUCAAUCCCGGCAGCCAUGUCAAAACAGUCGAUCAAACGGAAAUUUAUCCCAGGUUUAUUUAUGAGCCCAUGGGAUGUUUUCAGUGUUUUCGGCCUCCCUGCUGGCUGGAAGUGAAGCUUGUUGCUGUAAGUGUUGUAAAUGUUGUUGCAAGUGUUGCUGUAAAUGCUGUUGUAAAUGCUGCAAGUGUUGUGACAAGAAGUAGGCUAGCAUCAUGCUGACAAGAUCAUGACGAAUCGUGUGUCACAAACAGAUGUGUAGUCUCACAUGCUGGAUUACUGGAAGAAAAUCCAACCCGAGUAAUUUGGUAUUGGAAAU